AUGAGAACUCCAGGCAAAUAAAUGUGAGGAUCACGUCUUGCGAUCUAGUCUCCUCACUACCUCGAUCCCGCAGCACCCUCUGAGACCACCUCCACCGGGCAGCUUGGGCGCGGAUUUACCUUGACCUUAGGGCCAGGUAGCCUUCGGAACUAAGACCACGUGCAGACAGGAUGCUGAGGAUGAGGACCUGGGAAGUCAAGGUUGACUAGGAGGCAGAAGUUAGGUAGAGGGUUUGGCUACCAGGAGGGGAUAUUAAUGAACAAAGGAAGGGAAUUUGGCAUACAGAAUUAGGCCUACUGAUCUAAAUACCAAAACUUUAUCUAUCUGCUUUACUUUAGUUCUGCCUUAUUCUUGUGAAAUUAGGAAGAAAAGAUUAAUGUAGGAGAGGGAUUUAUGUAAUGCUAAUCCUCCCCCUGGGCUACCAGCUCACAGCAACCAUUCCCAAAUACUCCUUAUUUUUCUGGAGGAUGGUAUUUUCUAGUCCUAAAAGGAAGAAGGAAGUAAGAGACAAUAAGGUACCUAAUAAUAUAAUAUUUAGAUCCAACAAAAGAUACUGAUCAACACUUAUUAGUUUGUUUGUUUGUUUUUUAAAUGUUUGUGAUUUUCAAGAUUGGGUUUUUUUGUUUGUUUGGUUUGGGUUUUUUAGGUGCUUUUGGCUUUUCGAGACAUGAUUUUUCUGUGUAGCCCUUGUUGCCCUGGAACUGGCUCUGUAAACCAGGCUGGUCUCAGACUCAGAGAUCUGCCUGCCUCUGCCUCACUCACAAGUUCUGGGACUAAGGUUCGGGCCACCACAGCCCAGCUAAGAACCUAUUAGUUUAAAGAUGUACAUUAGGACCAGAGAGAAAAUACCCUCUAAGAUGUUCAUUUCCUCACCUACCAGCCAACUAAAAUGAGGCGAGGGCAUUUCAUGCAGUCAGAUCAUCUCAGGAAGACACUGGAGGCUGAGGCGGGAAGACUGGUGCUAGUAAAAUUGCCAGAAAUUUGAGGACAAGGCUUCCAAGUUCAACAGUCCUGACUGUCCCGGAACUCACUUUGUAGACCAGUCUGGUCUUGAACUCAAAGCAAUACACCUACCUCUGCUUCCCAAGUGCCAGGAUUAAAGAAGUGGCCCCCACCUCCAGAUAGAAUGAUUAUUUUCUUUCUGGACUUUUAUAAGGGUAGGAAAGAUGGCAGAGGAUAUUGGGAGAAAGCCCAGCAUUGCAAGUAAGAAUCAUUAUGAAAAGCUUUCUUGUGUGCUCGUUCCUAAGACAUAGCCGGAUAUCUAGUUAAUAUUGAAUAUGUGUAACUGGUAUUCCAACAUAAUUGGCAAUUUAUAGUUGGCAAUAAAGUGUUUAAAAUUGAACCCA
rnacentral:lncRNA from 1 species